rnacentral:rRNA from 1 species
GACGAACGCUGGCGGCGUGCUUAACACAUGCAAGUCGAACGGAAAGGCCCUGCUUUUGUGGGGUGCUCGAGUGGCGAACGGGUGAGUAACGCGUGAGUAACCUGCCCUUGACUUUGGGAUAACUUCAGGAAACUGGUGCUAAUACCGGAUAGGCGCUCCUGCUGCAUUGUGGGGGAUGGAAAGUUUCGGCGGUUGGGGAUGGACUCGCGGCUUAUCAGCUUGUUGGUGGGGUAGUGGCUUACCAAGGCUUUGACGGGUAGCCGGCCUGAGAGGGUGACCGGCCACAUUGGGACUGAGAUACGGCCCAGACUCCUACGGGAGGCAGCAGUGGAGAAUAUUGCACAAUGGGCGGAAGCCUGAUGCAGCGACGCCGCGUGGGGGAUGACGGCCUUCGGGUUGUAAACCGCUUUCGCCUGUGACGAAGCGUGAGUGACGGUAAUGGGUAAAGAAGCACCGGCUAACUACGUG